rnacentral:rRNA from 1 species
CUUGUGCCAGCCGCCGCGGUAAUACGAAGGGGGCUAGCGUUGUUCGGAUUUACUGGGCGUAAAGCGCACGUAGGCGGACUAUUAAGUCAGGGGUGAAAUCCCGGGGCUCAACCCCGGAACUGCCUUUGAUACUGGUAGUCUCGAGUCCGGAAGAGGUGAGUGGAAUUCCGAGUGUAGAGGUGAAAUUCGUAGAUAUUCGGAGGAGCACCAGUGGCGAAGGCGGCUCACUGGUCCGGUACUGACGCUGAGGUGCGAAAGCGUGGGGAGCAAACAGGAUUAGA